UAAGGAAUAUUGGACAAUGGACGCAAGUCUGAUCCAGCCAUGCCGCGUGAAGGAUGAAUGCCCUCUGGGUUGUAAACUUCUUUUAUAGGGGAAGAAAGAUACUUUUUUUAAGGUAGUUGACGGUACCCUAUGAAUAAGCACCGGCUAACUCCGUGCCAGCAGCCGCGGUAAUACGGAGGGUGCAAGCGUUAUCCGGAUUUACUGGGUUUAAAGGGUGCGUAGGCGGGCAUGUAAGUCAGUGGUGAAAUACCGGAGCUUAACUUCGGAACUGCCAUUGAUACUAUAUGUCUUGAAUAUUGUGGAGGUAAGCGGAAUAUGUCAUGUAGCGGUGAAAUGCAUAGAUAUGACAUAGAACACCCAUUGCGGAGGCAGCUUGCUACGCAAAUAUUGACGCUGAGGCACGAAAGCGUGGGGAUCAAACA
rnacentral:rRNA from 1 species